GUGACCAGAGACAAUCUGAAGAAAAGAAAUAUGAACAAACCAGUUGAUUGUGUCUUUUGUGCCGAACCUGAAAGUGUCCAGCACGUCUUCUUUGACUGCGUAGUUGCUAAACUUGUAUGGCAAGAAGUUAGUUCUUUUCUUUCCAGACAAGUAGGUACUUCUCUUGAAUCAGUUACUUCUAUUUGGAUCGCUGGAAAGAAACUGGAUUCUCUUCUUAAUACAAUAGUUGCUUCUGUUCUCUGGGCUUUGUGGAAGCACAGAAAUAGUAUAAUAUUUAAUGGUGUCAUUUGGAUGUCUUUGAAUCAGAUUCAGUCACUGGUUUUAAGGACCAUCAGGAAAUGGCGCUUAAUCUUCAAGGAGCAUAUGCUGGUUCAGAUAUACCAAUUCUACCUGCAUCUUCAACACCUGCUGGGAAGACCAGCACAACUGGAGUGGGGUAACAGUCUAACAGAGUGUGCUGCUGCUGGAGAAGCCCAUCCACACUUGUACAGGCAUGGUGACAGGCAUCUUGAGCCCAACUUCUCUCUGACGCCGCAGCCGCUGGCUUAA
rnacentral:rRNA from 1 species